CAUCGCCUUUUGUAAAGAGUCUAAUAUAUAAAAGGUCCUGCCUGCCCGGUGACUUAGUUAAACGGCCGCGGUAUUUUGACCGUGCAAAGGUAGCAUAAUCAUUUGCCUUUUAAAUGGGGGCUGGUAUGAAUGGCAAGACGGGAAUCAGACUGUCUCUCUCUUAGUGUUUUGAAAUUAAUAUUUUCGUGAAGAAGCGGAGAUUAAAUCGUAGGACGAGAAGACCCUAUCGAGCUUUAGUUGAAGUUAUAGGCUAGUGGUGGUAUUUUAUGUGCUAAUAAGUUAUUUUGUUAGCUUGAAAGGUACUGUCAAUAAUACUGAGGUUAUAUAUUGUAGGCUUAGGUUGGGGCAACUGCGGAGAAUAAGAAUCCUCCGUUGAAUUAUUGUUAAAUAUUAUAUUUUCGAUAGUGUUUAUUAGAAGUGAUCCACUUAUAAAGUGAUUAAAAGAAUAAGUUACCGUAGGGAUAACAGCGUAAUUUUUUUGGAGAGUUCAUAUUGAUAAAGAAGUUUGCGACCUCGAUGUUGGAUCGGGAUUUCCUAGAGAUGCAGCAGUUUCUAAGGGUUGGUCUGUUCGACCAUUAAAAUCCUACG
rnacentral:rRNA from 1 species